UACGUAGGGUGCAAGCGUUGUCCGGAAUUAUUGGGCGUAAAGAGCUCGUAGGCGGUCUGUCGCGUCUGCUGUGAAAACUCGGGGCUUAACCCCGGGCCUGCAGUGGGUACGGGCAGACUAGAGUGCGGUAGGGGAGACUGGAAUUCCUGGUGUAGCGGUGAAAUGCGCAGAUAUCAGGAGGAACACCGGUGGCGAAGGCGGGUCUCUGGGCCGUGACUGACGCUGAGGAGCGAAAGCGUGGGGAGCGAACAGG
rnacentral:rRNA from 1 species